rnacentral:rRNA from 1 species
UGGGGAAUAUUGGACAAUGGGGGCAACCCUGAUCCAGCAAUACCGCGUGUGUGAAGAAGGCCUUCGGGUUGUAAAGCACUUUAGAUUGGGAAGAAGGUUUGGUGUUUAAGAGAUAUCAAAUUUGACGGUACCAAUAGAAUAAGCACCGGCUAACUCUGUGCCAGCAGCCGCGGUAAUACAGAGGGUGCAAGCGUUAAUCGGAGUUACUGGGCGUAAAGGGCGCGUAGGCGGUUAUGUAAGUGAGAUGUGAAAUCCCUGGGCUCAACCUAGGAACUGCAUCUUAAACUGCAUAGCUGGAGUAUUGUAGAGGGUAGUGGAAUUUCCGGUGUAGCGGUGAAAUGCGUAGAGAUCGGAAGGAACACCAGUGGCGAAGGCGGCUACCUGGACAAAUACUGACGCUGAGGCGCGAAAGCGUGGGGAGCAAACAGGAUUAGAUACCCCUGUAGUCC